GCAGCUUGGACACUCACUCUCACUGUGAUCCUCUACUUUUCAGUACGUUCCAGCCCAUGCUCCGCCCCCAGCUGCCACCCAGCCUCUUGGUCACUGAGGCCCCAGGACUGGGAGCCCUCCACAAACCAGAAAGCCCCAUUCUGCAGACUUUAUGGGCAGAGGACAUUAGCAUCCCUGGGGUCAUGUGGCUGAGGACAAUUCCUCUCCAGGGGACUCCCACUCCAAGAGACAAAUUUUGAGGGAGGUAACAAUCCCCGGAGCCAGUACAACCUCACUGAACAAACGGCUGCCUUGUCGGUUAGCCCAGGCCUGGAGUUGGCCCUGGGCAACAUUGCAUGGGGUCUCCAGUCCCUGUGUUGAAGCUUCACACCCAUCUGGCUGCUGCCACCAGCUGCCGCUCUGGGACCCACCCUCCUGCCCUGCUCUGGCCUCCAAGACAGAGCACUUGUCACCACCUGACGUAAUAUGUUUUUACUUGUUCAUCAUGUGUUUCUCAAGAAGAAUGUGAGCUCCAUGAGGGAAGAAACUUCAUUUUGUUCUCUGCUAUAUUCUUUAAAUACUGCCUGGUACAUGAGCCUGGAAUUCAUUCUUUCAACAAAUAUGUGAUCUGCACCUAUUGUGGGCUAGUCAACAGCUGUGCCUUCAUGAAGAUUACAGUAUAGCUGGAAAGAAGAAUAAUAAUCUCGUAAACAAAUGAAUGAAGAUGGAGAAAGUGAAGCUGGAAG
rnacentral:lncRNA from 1 species